GUAUGAGAGAGAUAGACAAAUUUG
rnacentral:piRNA from 1 species